GGACUGUUACUUUGAAAAAAUUAGAGUGUUUAAAGCAGGCCUACGCUUGAAUACAUUAGCAUGGAAUAAUGAAAUAGGACGUUCGAUCUAUUUUAGUUGGUUUCUAGGAUCAACGUAAUGAUUAAUAGGGAUAUUGGGGGCAUUAGUAUUCAAUUGUCAGAGGUGAAAUUCUUGGAUUUAUUGAAGACUAACUACUGCAAAGCAUUUGCCAAGGAUGUUUUCAUUAAUCAAGAACGAAAGUUAGGGGAUCGAAGACGAUCAGAUACCGUCGUAGUCUUAACCAUAAACUAUGCCGACUAGGGAUCGGAUGAUGUUAAUUUUUUAAUGACUCAUUCGGCGCCUUACG
rnacentral:rRNA from 1 species